rnacentral:rRNA from 1 species
GGGGGGGGCUUGAUUCCUUGCAAGGUCGUGCGCCUCAGCAAUGAGGAGCGGCAGACGGGUGAGUAACGCGUGGGAAUCUACCCAUCCCUACGGAACAACUCCGGGAAACUGGAGCUGAUACCGUAUACGUCCUUCGGGAGAAAGAUUUAUCGGGGAUGGAUGAGCCCGCGUUGGAUUAGCUGGUUGGUGGGGUAAUGACCUACCAAGGCGACGAUCCAUAGCUGGUCUGAGAGGAUGAUCAGCCACACUGGGACUGAGACACGGCCCAGACUCCUACGGGAGGCAGCAGUGGGGAAUAUUGGACAAUGGGCGCAAGCCUGAUCCAGCCAUGCCGCGUGAGUGAUGAAGGCCCUAGGGUUGUAAAGCUCUUUCACCGGUGAAGAUAAUGACGGUAUCUGAGGAAUAAGCAUCGGCUAACUUCGUGCCAGCAGCCGCGGUAAUACGGAGGAUGCAAGCGUUAUCCGGAAUGAUUGGGCGUAAAGGGUCCGCAGGUGGUUGUUCAAGUCUGCUGUUAAAGCGUCUGGCUUAACUAGAUAAAGGCAGUGGAAACUGAAGGACUAGAGUGCGGUAGAGGUAGAGGGAAUUCCCAGUGUAGCGGUGAAAUGCGUAGAGAUUGGGAAGAACACCAGCGGCGAAAGCGCUCUACUGGACCGCAACUGACACUCAUGGACGAAAGCUAGGGGAGCGAAUGGGAUUAGAUACCCCAGUAGUCCUAGCCGUAAACGAUGGAUACUAGGCGUUGAGAGUAUCGACCCUCUCAGUGCCGUAGCCAACGCGUUAAGUAUCCCGCCUGGGGAGUACGCACGCAAGUGUGAAACUCAAAGGAAUUGACGGGGACCCGCACAAGCGGUGGAGUAUGUGGUUUAAUUCGAUGCAACGCGAAGAACCUUACCAGGGUUUGACAUGUCGCGAAUCUCCUGGAAACGGGAGAGUGCCUUCGGGAGCGCGAACACAGGUGGUGCAUGGCUGUCGUCAGCUCGGUUGCUAUGUCGUGAGAUGUUGGGUUAAGUCCCGCAACGAGCGCAACCCUCGUCUUUAGUUGCCAGCAUUCAGUUGGGCACUCUAGAGAUACUGCCGGUGACAAAUCGGAGGAAGGUGGGGAUGACGUCAAGUCUUCAUGCCCCUUACACCCUGGGCUACACACGUACUACAAUGCUGUGGACAAAAGGCAGCAAGCCAGCAAUGGUAAGCAAAUCCCACAAACCACGGCUCAGUUCAGAUCGCAGGCUGCAACUCGCCUGCGUGAAGGUGGAAUCGCUAGUAAUUCCAGAUCAGCAUUGCUGGGGUGAAUUCGUUCCCGGGUCUUGUACACACCGCCCGUCACACCAUGGAAGUUGGUUUUGCCCGAAGUCGUUAUUCCAACCCUGUGGAGGGAAGCCCCGAAGGGCAGGGGGGG